rnacentral:rRNA from 1 species
UACGAAGGGGGCUAGCGUUGCUCGGAAUCACUGGGCGUAAAGGGUGCGUAGGCGGGUCUUUAAGUCAGGGGUGAAAUCCUGGAGCUCAACUCCAGAACUGCCUUUGAUACUGAAGAUCUUGAGUUCGGGAGAGGUGAGUGGAACUGCGAGUGUAGAGGUGAAAUUCGUAGAUAUUCGCAAGAACACCAGUGGCGAAGGCGGCUCACUGGCCCGAUACUGACGCUCAUGUGCGAAAGCGUGGGGAGCAAACAGGG